rnacentral:lncRNA from 1 species
CCAAUGGAUGUUUUGACCAAGGAGUUCUACUCAUAACACGCCAAACAAGCUUUGGAAAUGUGCACAGACUGACUGCCUUGAUGAGGAGAAGCUGAGAUUGCGUCAAAUUCUUUGUGUUUUAAAGGUCAACACAUCCACUUCUCCAACAAGCUUUCUUACGGUUGUAAUUACAGCCCUUUUUCCCAAUGCAAUCAAACAAAUAUGUCUUGAAAAAGCAUGAAGUGGUAGAAGAUAUCCCAUAGACUUAGCACUGCAAAACUGAACUUCCUCCAUUCAGAUGAAGAAAUCAACUUUUGUCUCUAGGAAUCAAAUGAUCUUGCUGUUUCUCUGCUCUCCAGUUAUCUACGACCUACUGAGCCAAGAUCUCACAGAAGGUGUUCCCACAGGAUCUUAAUUGCCUUUUUCUUCA